UACGGAGGGCGCAAGCGGUGUUCGGAAUCACUGGGCGUAAAGCGCGUGUAGGCGGCUUGGCAAGUCGGGUGUGAAAGCCCGGAGCUCAACUCCGGAACUGCAUUCGAAACUGCCUCGCUCGAGUCCCGGAGAGGGUGGUGGAAUUCCCGGUGUAGAGGUGAAAUUCGUAGAUAUCGGGAGGAACACCAGUGGCGAAGGCGCCCACCUGGACGGUGAUUGACGCUGAGACGCGAAAGCGUGGGGAGCAAACAGG
rnacentral:rRNA from 1 species